CCUACGGGUGACAGCAGUGAGGAAUAUUGGUCAAUGGGCGGGAGCCUGAACCAGCCAAGUCGCGUGAGGGAAGACGGUCCUAUGGAUUGUAAACCUCUUUAGUCGGGGAGCAAUGCCGGGCACGUGUGCCCGGUGGGAGAGUACCCGCAGAAUAAGCAUCGGCUAACUCCGUGCCAGCAGCCGCGGUAAUACGGAGGAUGCGAGCGUUAUCCGGAUUUAUUGGGUUUAAAGGGUGCGUAGGCGGAUUUUUAAGUCAGCGGUAAAAUGUCCGGGCUCAACCCGGGCCGGCCGUUGAAACUGGGGAGCUUGAGUGGGCGAGAAGUAUGCGGAAUGCGUGGUGUAGCGGUGAAAUGCAUAGAUAUCACGCAGAACUCCGAUUGCGAAGGCAGCAUACCGGCGCCCGACUGACGCUGAGGCACGAAAGCGUGGGGAUCGAACAGGAUUAGAUACCCUAGUAGUC
rnacentral:rRNA from 1 species